CUGGUUUCCUCCCUCAUCCCAGCUGUGCUGGACGCCGAAGGCUGACGUCUGCAAGCUGCUCACGGCCUGUUAGGGAAAGACAGAUACUAAAAAAACCCUACAGGAUCUGACUGAAAGAAUGAAAAGGAAAUGCGAUCAAAAGCUGGGGGCAGAGAGCACAGAGGGGGAUCCAGCUCUUUGUGGGCCACCUGGAGGAGGUGGGAAUUACGCGGUUGUUUGGAGACCUGGCAGAGGUUCGAUGGGCGAUGGGCGGGUGGGACACAAUCAGAAACCGUUGGGGACGGAAAACUGAUAGCGCUUGGUGCCUGCUGACAGCAGCAGAGAGGGGAGACUGCUAGGCAGUUCCCAGGUUUUCAUGAGAUUUCGAGUAAAUGGGGAGAGAGAAACUACUCCCCACACCCCCCCCCCCCCCGCCGCACCCCAGUCCCCCAGGCAGUGUGUGGAUUCUAUGAGGCGAUGUUUGGGCCCCGCCAACACACAGUAGGAUCCCCAUAAAUGUUAGCUCGUUGUCUCCUGGGACGGGUAAGUUCUAAAUUUAUUGUUGGGAAAUUAAAUGAAGACAUCGGGGUUACGGCAUGGCUAAGUUUGCAGCUGAACUUUGGUUGGAUUACUGCUGCGCUGCCUUUGGCUGAUGAAGCUGGGCCUUUCUUGCUGAAGUUGUUCUCAGCAGAUUUAGCUCUGCUAAGCCUCUUUUUUUUACGUGGCCUUAUGGGGGACUGACAAGUCGAUUAUCAUAAGAGACUGGGUGGAGGGGGGGAUGGUAAGAAGGAAACGUUGCAUCUGAUGGCACAGGGUCAUUCGUGUUUUGUGUGAAGGUUGCAAGCAGAGGUUUUGGUUCUGCCCAGAGGAACCCUCUCUCUCCCUGGGGGUGGCUUUGCCUGUCGAUUAUCAGCAGUAGGGGGCUCUUGGCUACGCCUCUCAGGGGCCCAGUUCCUCUGAUAGCACUGGGGUCCCCGCCCUCGUCACCGUUUUGCUGGGGCAGGAAAACGGCUCUGUGUCCGCUGGGCCUCCUGCUUCUUUCCGAUUCCAGCACUCGGACUGCCUUCAGAUAUCCAGCAGCGGAGAGGUCCCUGUUACCGCCUGUCCCUCCUCCCGGCAUUUGAACCCCGGAAUCCCAGGCACCCAGGGUCCCUCUGGUCCCUCGCCCAAGACUGCCCAGGGCUAACAGGGCCGCCUGCCCAACCAGGAGAGAUUUCCCAAUUCAGAUGAGCUGGCUCGUUCCGUUCGCAGGUGCGAGGCCGGUGGGGGAGGGCGGGGGUGGCGAGCUCCCGGCCCUUUGGCAGUGACACUGCCUCUAAGGAGAGGGGCGGGUGGGGACCAGGAGGGGGAAACUCAAUCACUGUUGCAGGAGAAGGGAGGAGGCUUUUAGUCAAAGUGCCCGUCACCGGGGGCAGCUGAUAGCAUCGCCCGCCCUGGUCUGGUUACACCUCCCUGCCUCCCCAGAGCGCUAAUGAGAAGCCCGAAGUGGACACCAGAGAAGGUGGUCCCCACAAGCGGGCGGCGGGGGGGGGGCGGUGCUGGGACACAGGGCAGGGGGAGGCAGGGAGGGGGGCGUAGGAUUCCAGAAAAAGCAUUUUGUAGUUUUGCUUCAACUCAUUCCCUUCCCCAGUGAUGGAGAUGGCUUCCUUCUCUUUGAAGUGCCUGAGAAAAGGGCCAUUUCUUUUCAGGACACGAUGUUCUGUUUCUUCCAGGACAGAGAAGGCAUGGAGCCUUUCUCCGCUAUGCCAAUUGUGGCUUGCAUUUGGCCCUGCCCUUGCUGGACAGUUGCGGGGCCUUCUCUUCCCUUCGAUCAGCCACUGGUUACUGAGGGCAUGUGACAGCCACGCUCUGGCCAAACCCUAUUGCAAACCCCUCUCCAGCCUGGUGGCAAGGGAGACCGGGACCCUGGGAUUCUGGAUGAGUCCAUUUAAUUCUCUGUUCGUUGAUGUAGAACUAAAGUCAGAUGCCUCUUGCUGUGCAGUGUCACGUUUCCCCCCAAAAGGAGACAUUUCUUCCUUCCUUCCUUCCUUCCUUCCUUCCUUCCUUCCUUCCUUCCUUCCUUCCUUUUUCUUUUUCUUCUUUCUCCUUUCUUUCUUUCUUUCUUCUUUCUUUCUUUCUUUCUUUCUUUCUUUCUUUCUUUCUUUCUUCUUUCCUUCCUUUCUUUUCUCUUUUCUUUCUUUUCUCUUUUCUUUUCUUUUCUUUUCUUUUCUUUUCUUUUCUUUUCUUUUCUUUUCUUUCUUUUUGGAAUGGAAUGUUUUCUCUAGGCCUAGCGCUAAUUAAAUGCUUCCCAUGCAUUAUCUCAUGGGUCCUCGAAAUAAUCCUACCCUGAUGGGCAUAGCUUUUCAUCCUCCACUGUGCAGAUAAGGAAACUGAGGUAUAGAGAGGUUAAGUCACAUGCCCAAGGUAGUGACAUAGCUGAGGUGCGAGAUAACCUAAGCUUUCUGACUCCCAAGCCUUUUGACCCAAAAGUGUCACUGAGUGAGUAUCUGGUAUCUGUCACCACUUAUGACUUGCGACAACCGCCCCCUCCCCACCUUUUCUUCAUCCGCUCAUCUUACUGAAGUAGCUACACCCUCCGUCAGUGCUGGGGACGGAGAUGUGCAAGAGGAAGGCUCUGUGACUGAGGAUGUGAGGUUCUGGAGGGGUGCUGAACCCAGCGCUCCCACCAAAGGGGACCCCAGUGCUGUAGGAACACGGAUGAAAGAAGGCUGACCGCCCAGGCCGAUGAGUCAGGGCGGCUACAAGGAAGCUUCCAGAGAGGCCCAGCAUGGCCAGAGGCCCUGCAGGGGGUUGGAGGGUGGUCAUUAUGGGGGGACCUGGGGUGGGCUGCACGGAGCCAAAUCAGGAAGGGCCCCCCCUCCUCGGGGCUGGGGGGGGCGGGGUUGGGCUUUAACGAGUGUUUGCAGCUUACCUCACUGUAAGGGCCCUUCUAUUUCCAGACCUGGUGUGAGCGCCAUCCCUCCACCCCUACUCUGUUUGCAGGUGUUUUUUUCUCCCUGGUCUCUACAUGGGCUACGUUCCUCCCAGGCUGGAAGGAAAUCCCCUGGGAGUUCCAGGCCUGCAUCGGGGCGUGUGCUCUGCUGGGGAACAAGAGCCCGGGCCGGGCCACUGUCAGGCUGACUCCAGCCCCGGGGGCUGCUGAAGCACACAGAUGCCUCCGAAGAGCUCUGCAUGGGGUCUCCUUGCCACACCGGACCCGUGUUUCAUUUUCCAUGCAGGAAGCGUUUGGUGGUUGGUUUUUUUUUUUUUUUUCCCCCACCAUCCAAAAAAAUGCAACAUGUUGAGGGAAUUUAGUUCAGGCAAGGGAAGAACUUGGAGAGGAAACGUCAAGGCUUUGCCUGAGGAUUUGUCCGCAUGGUUUCUACGGGACAAGCCAUCAUAAUCAUGCACGGAAAGCAUCUGUAGAGCCUGGGGAGGUCCCUUCUCCAUGUGCCCCAUUCAGUUGGGGAGGCACCAAG
rnacentral:lncRNA from 1 species